rnacentral:lncRNA from 1 species
UUUUGGGCUUCUGGGCUAUUUUUGGCACGCAUCAUUGUUAGUGGUGCAAAAUUUUCUUCUUGAAGAGUAAUAAAAAUGCAUUUAAGAAAUAAUAAAAAUAUAAUGGAAAAGAUAUCAUAGCAUAAAAUGAAAGAAAAAAAAUUGGAAAAUAUAAUAACAUAUAAAUAGGAAAGAAAUUGUGGGUGUCGUACCCCAAAAUUUG